AUUAUUUGCAGGCUAAAAUUGAUUUUUUAGUAUCAAUGAUAGAGUCAAUUUGACAUUUGCUGUCUUUGAUCACGUAUGUCUACUAAAAAUGUCUCCAUCCACCCUCAAGAUGGCAUUCUGUAAUAUGCGAUGGCUCUAAGCUGCCCUAGAGAUUCCAGGAGUUGUAGGGGUCACUUAGAGUCAGGGCUGGCUGCAUAUAAAGUCACUAAUAACUGCCAUAUUUGUAGUACUUACCACAAUGCCAAUGAAAAAGAAAAAGAAUGUGACAAACAGGAAGAACUAUAUAUAUUCCCCCAUUUUCUGGUCCCUAGUGAUGUUAAUAAGGACUCAGCACCCCUGUACAGAACAGUAUAAUAACAGCGCAGUAGUGUGCUAAAUAUUUAGAAAGAGCAAUGUUUAGAGGAAAUGUUAUAAAAUGACACCAAUCAUGCGUUCUAUGACAGGUGUACUUAAUAUGAUAAAACUGGAAAUAUGCAUCUUAGAGAUGUGACUAUUUGGGAUAUAAUAUCCCCAAUUAUAUUGCUUGCUAGCUUGGCAGCCACAAAUAUUAACCCUUUAAGGACACGACAUGUGUGACAUGUCAUGAUUCCCUUUUAUUUCAGAAGUUUGGUCCUUAAGGGGUUAAAUGUUCUUUUGCUAUCUUGCUUUUCUUGAAGCUUCUGCAAUGUCAUGCUCUUAGUUUGCAAUUUAUGGCUAUAGCUAUGUUGUGAAUAGCAUAUGAAAAGCUUUUAAGCAUUGCUCUUUCUACUCUCUGUAUAUCCAUCCAUUGGUCCAGACUCCUAUUUAUGAGGACUCAACAAUGCUGACCUGAAUAGGACAAUCCCCGUUUGGACAGUGUACAUUUAUUGAGUUGCAUCAUACAAGAACAGCUUAUGGAACCUAAAAGCCAGGGUUUGGCAAGUCUAGAGCCUCUAGACUUAAAGCAGACUCAUUACCAAAGUGAAAAAGGAACAAUAUUUACUUUAAUACCUAGAAU